CAGCCGCCGCGGUAAUACGUAGGUGGCAAGCGUUGUCCGGAAUUAUUGGGCGUAAAGGGCUCGCAGGCGGUUUCUUAAGUCUGAUGUGAAAGCCCCCGGCUCAACCGGGGAGGGUCAUUGGAAACUGGGAAACUUGAGUGCAGAAGAGGAGAGUGGAAUUCCACGUGUAGCGGUGAAAUGCGUAGAGAUGUGGAGAAACACCAGUGGCGAAGGCGACUCUCUGGUCUGUAACUGACGCUGAGGAGCGAAAGCGUGGGGAGCGAACAGGAUUAGAUACCCGUGUAGUCCCUGUCUCUUAUAA
rnacentral:rRNA from 1 species